AAAGUGCGGGAGUGCCGUUUAAAGUAUCGCGCGUGUGAAUCAAUCUGAGAGGAGGAGGAGGCCUCGGAGAGACAUCGAGCAUCGGUGGAGUAGCUCUGUGAUCAACCUAACAACCCUUAAUAUUCCGAGAGGAGGAGGAGGCCUAGGAGAGGCAUCCUGCACCGGCGGAGCAACCCAAGGACAACGUAGCCUCAAGACCAAAUCUCCGCUGUUGCGCAUCAGUGCCG